CAAUAGCGUAUAUUAAAGUUGUUGCAGUUAAAAAGCUCGUAGUUGGAUUUCUGGUGGGAGCGAUCGGUCUGGCGCUAGCGCGAGUACUUGCAUCGUCUCCGGCCAUCCUUGGGGAGAGUCUGUCUGGCAUUAGGUUGUCGGGCAGAGGAUCCUCAUCGUUUACUGUGAAAAAAUUAGAGUGUUCAAAGCAGGCUUAUGCCGUUGAAUAUAUUAGCAUGGAAUAAUAAGAUAGGACUUUGGUACUAUUUUGUUGGUUUGCGCACCAAAGUAAUGAUUAAUAGGGACAGUUGGGGGUAUUCGUAUUCCGUUGUCAGAGGUGAAAUUCUUGGAUUUACGGAAGACGAACUACUGCGAAAGCAUUUACCAAGGAUGUUUUCAUUAA
rnacentral:rRNA from 1 species